rnacentral:rRNA from 1 species
CCUACGGGAGGCAGCAGUGAGGAAUAUUGGUCAAUGGACGAGAGUCUGAACCAGCCAAGUAGCGUGAAGGAUGACUGCCCUAUGGGUUGUAAACUUCUUUUAUAAGGGAAUAAAAGUAUGCACGUGUGCCUUUUUGCAUGUACUCUAUGAAUAAGCAUCGGCUAACUCCGUGCCAGCAGCCGCGGUAAUACGGAGGAUGCGAGCGUUAUCCGGAUUUAUUGGGUUUAAAGGGAGCGUAGAUGGGUUGUUAAGUCAGCUGUGAAAGUUUGCGGCUCAACCGUAAAAUUGCAGUUGAUACUGGCAGACUUGAGUAUAGUUGAGGUAGGCGGAAUGCGUGGUGUAGCGGUGAAAUGCUUAGAUAUCACGCAGAACCCCGAUUGCGAAGGCAGCUUACUAAGCUGUGACUGACAUUGAUGCACGAAAGUGUGGGUAUCAAACAGGAUUAGAUACCCUUGUAGUC